CGAAGCCGCGAGCCCGUAGGCGGUAGCGGAGCGUUCCGUAAGCCUGUGAGGCGACCCGUGAGGGCGCCUGGAGGUAGUCGGAAGUGCGAAUGCAGACAUGAGUAACGAGAGGAGUGUGAGAAUCACUCCCGCCGAAAGUCCAAGGGUUCCUGCGUAAAGCUAAUCUGCGCAGGGUUAGCCGGCCCCUAAGGCGAGGGCGAAAGCCGUAGUCGAUGGGAACCACGUCAAUAUUCGUGGGCCAGUGGGUGAGUGACGGAUGCCGCAAGUUGUCGAGGCUUAUCGGAUUGCCGAGGCAGCGAAGGUGUUCCAGGAAAAUAGCCCCCACAUCAGACCGUACCCUAAACCGACACAGGUGGACUGGUAGAGAAUACCAAGGCGCUUGAGAGAAGUGUGCUGAAGGAACUCGGCAAAUUACCUGCGUAACUUCGGGAUAAGCAGGCCACCCGUCUGGGCAACCAGACGAGUGGGGCACAAACCAGGGGGUGG
rnacentral:rRNA from 1 species